AGUUAGGAGUGGAGCUAUGUAGAAGGAGUAGAAAUUUGUUUUGGUAAUAUGAUAGUCUUUUCUUGUAUUUGAAUUCUCCUCUAUGGAUUUAUUCUAAAAGAAAUUUGAAGAAUAAGUAAAACAAUAACCACAAUCAUUUUAGAAGAGAGGAUUUUGGAUGCUAAGAUUGAAUUUACUUUAAAAAAAGCUUUUAGUAUUGCUAAGAAAGGUUUUUAUAAGCUUA
rnacentral:lncRNA from 1 species